GAUCAACAAACUUUCUUAUAAGUAGAGACUGGAUUUUUAUGUGCUUAUAUAUUUUUACUAAGAGUAUGCAGUUUCAAUAGGAUUAGCUUUCUUGAAAAUUGAUUUUCCUAUGAAUUUAUGUGCAAAAUUUGUUAGUGCAUAAAAAAAUUUAAUUAUUUGCAUGAGCUCUAAUUUCAUGUUUUUUAGAUUAUCAAAAAUGUAAGUAGAAUUUAUUUUAAAUAAAAUUGGUGUUUAUUUGACUCGAACCACCAAUAAGAUUAAAGUAAUAUCCGCGAAUCAUCAACUCCUAACUACUUUAAAUUAGUUUAAUUAUGGUGCUAAGCAAUACAGGAUAGAUGCUAUCAUAGCAUAUCUACAUCUUCUGUCAAUAUAUAUAUAUGUAUUUAAAGAGUAGUUAAUAACUUAAUAUUGUAACGCAUGUGUUUAGUGUAACUAUAAAAUGUUCAAUCAAUACUACAUAAUUGUAAAACAUUUUUUUUUUUUUAAAAAGAGGGGGGUUUCCUUUGGUAGCUGAAUGUAUCAAUGGGACUCUAAUAAUAACACAUUUAUUGAACACGUAGAAUAGUACCUAAAUAAAAACAAAAAUUAUUUCAUAAAUUUAAGAAUAAUGUGUGGGCAAAACCAUAUAUAGUACAACCAAGUUAAGACGAUUACCAGUUUGGGGUGAUUAAUCGGUUUUAUUGCAUUUUAACUGAUCUAUAUAAUUAUACAGUUAAUGCAAACUAGUCAGAAAGUGUCCAUUAUUCAAAAGUUUUAAGAAAUACAGAUAUAUUUUAUAAAUUUGAAAGAGGUAAUAGCGCAUUCAAUAACUUAUUCCUCCUCUACAUUAAAAAUCUGGUAUGACAAUAAUUGCAUAUUUAGUAUUCCGCUAUAUAGCAUAAACUAUAGACAGAAAUCAAGAAGUGUAUGAAAAUUCAAAGGAGAUUAAAGAAUUUAUUGAUUAGUCCAGGGCUCUGAAGUUAUUGAACUAAAAGUGUAUGUUUUAUCACUUUAAUGUACACCUAAAAACACCAAAAUAAAUGAGAAAAAUUGAAUAUGGUAGUAGGUAUUUAGGAUCUAUUGGUCAGCUCUGGAAUGUAAAUAUGAUGAAUCCGAUCAGCGACAGAUUGGCUAAACAAUUCGGGCCGGGAAAUUUCUGUGUAACAAGCUCACCCAAUAUAUUAUAAUAAUCAUAUUUUUUAUUAUUUAAUAUAUUAUACGUAUAAUAUA